rnacentral:rRNA from 1 species
AGUGAACGCUGGCGGUAGGCCUAACACAUGCAAGUCGAACGGCAGCACAGUAAGAGCUUGCUCUUACGGGUGGCGAGUGGCGGACGGGUGAGGAAUACAUCGGAAUCUACUUUUUCGUGGGGGAUAACGUAGAGAAACUUACGCUAAUACCGCAUACGACCUACGGGUGAAAGCAGGGGAUCUUCGGACCUUGCGCGAUUGAAUGAGCCGAUGUCGGAUUAGCUAGUUGGCGGGGUAAAGGCCCACCAAGGCGACGAUCCGUAGCUGGUGUGAGAGGAUGAUCAGCCACACUGGAACUGGGACACGGUCCAGACUCCUACGGGAGGCAGCAGUGGGGAAUAUUGGACAAUGGGCGCAAGCCUGAUCCAGCCAUACCGCGUGGGUGAAGAAGGCCUUCGGGUUGUAAAGCCCUUUUGUUGGGAAAGAAAAGCAGCAGGUUAAUACCCCGCUGUUCUGACGGUACCCAAAGAAUAAGCACCGGCUAACUUCGUG